rnacentral:lncRNA from 1 species
CUAAGCAACCACAUAAUCAGUCCUAAAAGGGUAUUACAACAAAUAUUAGCAAAAGUGGUAUAAAUAAACACAAAUUUCUAACAGGUAAAUACACGUCAACACACCCCAGCGAAGCCAACGCCAACACAUAUAAAUGUUCAUGUACCAUUAGCCCCUGCAAAACACGGUAGGCGCAAUCACCCUUUCCAGCCUAAAGGCGUAAUCACCCUUUCCGGCCUAAACAAACUCAGCGAUCAGAACCAACAACAAAGGUAUCAGAACAUAUCAGACUAGGUUUCGAGAAACCACACACCGCUGAACAUGGUGUUUUAAAUGGAGACCUUCUCCAAAAAACAAAGCCAUAACGAAACCUUAUUGAACCUGAAUCUAGAGUAAACCAAGAGCCAUAAGCACCCACAACAACAAGGUUAUGUGGCAGCUUUGCCUUUGCAUAUGGGAAGAAACCAUGAAAUCUAAAGAUCUCAAACAUAUGGGAAGAAACCAGAGAUCUAAGGCCAUCAACAUUGAAGAGGAUAGAAAAUCAACCCAACACCUCCCAUAAAACAAGAUCCGGAACCAAACCACCUAAUACCACCCAAAGGGGUGAAAUGGUGGCGUGAAGGAGCGGUCUUGUCGCGUCACUACCCAUGGAGCCUACAUCGGAACUAGGACAUUUGGAUUUGGAGGGGAUGUCGAGCGAUGAAAAAGUUUUAGAAAGAGGUUAGAGGGUUUUUUUGUUUUAAAGAGAGGAUAUGAGGUGCAACAAUUUUGAUAUAUAUCACUUUCCAGCAAGAGCAUGGUUGCAAACCAAAGGAAUUGAAUGUCCUCCCAAUUGUGAGUUGUGACUCAUUAUAUGAAGACCUCACUCAUGUCAUUUUUUAAUGUUCUUUUUUUGUCCAAGUACGGUGUGCUUCUGGAUUAUGGUGCAAAAUCAAUAAAGAAGUGCUGGAAACCACUAAACCAAACCAACAACUACAAUUUUCAUGUUAGUGCGGCGCCUAUCACUGAAUCUUUAUGGUCUUUGGAAACAUAGUAAUCUAAUGAUUUGCCAAGAUGUGUCGGAAUCACGUUCGUAGGUGGUGGACAUAGUUGUUUGGCUGCUUGAGUUGAGGAUUAUUGGAAGCUAGCAAACAUUAUGGAUAAUCAAGGCAAAAGUUAACCGUUCAUGCAACCCUGAUGUAGUUGAUGCAGACGAAAACAUGGCAGCAGCAGAAAUUGGUUCAGUGGCAAAAACCGCAUCGGGGAAGAUACAAAUGUAACAUAUAUGUAUCUUUUGUUGUGCAGCAAUAUCGGACAAGUGUUGAUAUGUGUCUUACAAGUUAAGAUGGUAUUUUUAUUCUUGCAAUUACACCCCAACGAAUUAAAAUGGAUCCUUGGCUUACUUCACGCAAUUAAAAUGGAUCCUUGAUCUUUACUUUGACAAUGUUGACUUAUCAUAUGAAUUACACCCAAAUGAAGAUGUGUCCAUGAAGUAUCACAAAUCAUUUCAGUAAUACAUACUUUUUAAGCAAUAAAACAAAUUGGAUUUAAUUUAAGGAAAGUAGUUAAUAUUAUUCUUAGCUCUCUUUUAGGGAAGAUCAUGAUUUGCUACGCGCUUGUAUCCCUCCCUCUCUCUAGCUUUUUAGUUAGAUAGAAUUAAAAAAAUGCAAUUAUUGGUUGAUAUCCUUUUUUUACCACUCUUGUACAGCCUCAAUGUGGCAUGGGCAUAUAGUAAUUUCACG